UCAGGCCUAACACAUGCAAGUCGAGCGCGAAAGCACUUCGGUGUGAGUAGAGCGGCGGACGGGUGAGUAACGCGUAGGAAUCUACCUGGUAGUGGGGGACAACUCGGGGAAACUCGAGCUAAUACCGCAUACGCCCUACGGGGGAAAGCGGGGGACCUUCGGGCCUCGCGCUAUCAGAUGAGCCUGCGUUGGAUUAGCUAGUUGGUGGGGUAAUGGCCUACCAAGGCGACGAUCCAUAGCUGGUCUGAGAGGAUGAUCAGCCACACCGGGACUGAGACACGGCCCGGACUCCUACGGGAGGCAGCAGCGGGGAAUAUUGCGCAAUGGGCGAAAGCCUGACGCAGCCAUGCCGCGUGUGUGAAGAAGGCCUUCGGGUUGUAAAGCACUUUCAAUUGGGAGGAAAGGCUCACGGCUAAUACCCGUGAGCUGUGACGUUACCUUUAGAAGAAGCACCGGCUAACUCCGUGCCAGCAGCCGCGGUAAUACGGAGGGUGCAAGCGUUAAUCGGAAUUACUGGGCGUAAAGCGCGCGUAGGUGGUCUGUUAAGUCGGAUGUGAAAGCCCCGGGCUCAACCUGGGAACUGCACCCGAUACUGGCAGACUAGAGUGCGGGAGAGGGAGGUAGAAUUCCAUGUGUAGCGGUGAAAUGCGUAGAUAUGUGGAGGAAUACCAGUGGCGAAGGCGGCCUCCUGGCUCGACAC
rnacentral:rRNA from 1 species